UCCUACGGGACGCAGCAGUGAGGAAUAUUGGUCAAUGGGCGGAAGCCUGAACCAGCCAAGUCGCGUGAGGGAAGAAGGCCCUGCGGGUCGCAGACCUCUUUGGACGGGGAGCAAGGCCGCCGACGUGUCGGCGGAAGGAGAGUACCCGUAAAACAAGCAUCGCCUAACUCCGUGCCAGCAGCCGCGGAAAUACGUAGGGGGCAAGCGUUAUCCGGAUUUACUGGGUGUAAGGGGAGCGUAGACGGCGAUGCAAGUCUGAAGUGAAAGGCGGGGGCCCAACCCCCGGAC
rnacentral:rRNA from 1 species